rnacentral:rRNA from 1 species
AUUGAACGCUGGCGGCAGGCCUAACACAUGCAAGUCGAACGGUAACAGGAAGCAGCUUGCUGCUUCGCUGACGAGUGGCGGACGGGUGAGUAAUGUCUGGGAAGCUGCCUGAUGGAGGGGGAUAACUACUGGAAACGGUAGCUAAUACCGCAUAAUGUCGCAGGACCAAAGAGGGGGACCUUCGGGCCUCUUGCCAUCGGAUGUGCCCAGAUGGGAUUAGCUUGUUGGUGGGGUAACGGCUCACCAAGGCGACGAUCCCUAGCUGGUCUGAGAGGAUGACCAGCCACACUGGAACUGAGACACGGUCCAGACUCCUACGGGAGGCAGCAGUGGGGAAUAUUGCACAAUGGGCGCAAGCCUGAUGCAGCCAUGCCGCGUGUAUGAAGAAGGCCUUCGGGUUGUAAAGUACUUUCAGCGGGGAGGAAGGGAGUAAAGUUAAUACCUUUGCCCAUUGACGUUACCCGCAGAAGAAGCACCGGCUAACUCCGUG